CCAAAAAGUGAGAAAUCGCUUUCACAGCCGUGCCAGGCGGCCUCUGGGCCGCCGAACCGGUCAACCCUUUGUGAACCAAAAAAACCUCUCGCUUCGGCAGCUGGGCCUGACCGCCUGUCAGCCUGCCGCUAGCACCAACCUUCAAACCUGUUGUCAAACAUUGUCUGAUGACCAAAAUUUUCGAAUGAAAAUCA
rnacentral:misc_RNA from 1 species